CAAAGGUUUGGUCCUGGCCUUACUGUUAAUUCUUAUUAGACCUACACAUGCAAGUUUCCGCGCCCCAGUGAGAAUGCCCUCAAAACUAACUAAUAGUUUUUUAGGAGUGGGUAUCAGGCACACUCAAUGAGUAGCCCAUGACACCUUGCCUAGCCACGCCCCCACGGGAUACAGCAGUGACUAAUAUUGAGCUAUGAACGAAAGUUUGACUAAAUUAUAAUAAAGAGGGUUGGUCAAUAUCGUGCCAGCCACCGCGGUCAUACGAUUAACCCAAGUUAACAGAAAAACGGUGUAAAGCGUGUUUAAGCGAAAUAAAUAAAAUAAAGUUAAUACCUGACUAAGCUGUAAUACGCCAUAGUUAGUACUAAAAUACACAACUAACGUGACUUUACUAUAGNNNNNNNNNNACUAAAGCUAAGGUACAAACUGGGAUUAGAUACCCCACUAUGCUUAGCCAUAAACUUAGGUAGUCGAAUAACGAGACUACUCGCCAGAGAACUACGAGCCACUGCUUAAAACUCAAAGGACUUGGCGGUGCCCUAAACCCUUCUAGAGGAGCCUGUUCUAUAAUCGAUAAACCCCGAUACACCUCACCCCUUCUAGCUCUAUCAGUCUAUAUACCGCCAUCGUCAGCUCACCCCAACAGGGGACAAAAGUGAGCAAGAUUAUGAAACCAUAAAAACGUUAGGUCAAGGUGUAGCGUAUGGAGGGGGAAGCGAUGGGCUACAUUUUCUAAAUUAGAACAUAACGAAUUAUCUAUUGAAACAAAGAUAUGAAGGAGGAUUUAGUAGUAAAUUAAGAAUAGAGAGCUUAAUUGAAAAAGGCAAUGGGGUGCGUACACACCGCCCGUCACCCUCCUCGAAAAAGUAUUAAACCAUUCAUAAUACAAUUACGAUAAAAAGAGGAGAAAAGUCGUAACAUGGUAAGUGUACUGGAAGGUGCACUUGGAACA
rnacentral:ncRNA from 1 species